rnacentral:rRNA from 1 species
GAUGAACGCUGGCGGCGUGCCUAACACAUGCAAGUCGAACGGAGUUUUACGGAAUGCGACUUCGGUCAAAUGAAGUAAAACUUAGUGGCGGACGGGUGAGUAACGUGUGAGCAACCUGCCUUUCAGAGGGGGAUAACGCAGAGAAAUCUGCGCUAAUACCGCAUGACAUGUUUGGAUCGCAUGAUCUGAAUAUCAAAGGAGCAAUCCGCUGAAAGAUGGGCUCGCAUCUGAUUAGAUAGUUGGUGAGGUAACGGCUCACCAAGUCAACGAUCAGUAGCCGGACUGAGAGGUUGAACGGCCACAUUGGAACUGAGAUACGGUCCAG